rnacentral:rRNA from 2 species
GAGUGCAGAAGAGGAGAGUGGAAUUCCACGUGUAGCGGUGAAAUGCGUAGAGAUGUGGAGGAACACCAGUGGCGAAGGCGACUCUCUGGUCUGUAACUGACGCUGAGGAGCGAAAGCGUGGGGAGCGAACAGGAUUAGAUACCCUGGUAGUCCACGCCGUAAACGAUGAGUGCUAAGUGUUAGGGGGUUUCCGCCCCUUAGUGCUGCAGCUAACGCAUUAAGCACUCCGCCUGGGGAGUACGGUCGCAAGACUGAAACUCAAAGGAAUUGACGGGGGCCCGCACAAGCGGUGGAGCAUGUGGUUUAAUUCGAAGCAACGCGAAGAACCUUACCAGGUCUUGACAUCCUCUGACAAUCCUAGAGAUAGGACGUCCCCUUCGGGGGCAGAGUGACAGGUGGUGCAUGGUUGUCGUCAGCUCGUGUCGUGAGAUGUUGGGUUAAGUCCCGCAACGAGCGCAACCCUUGAUCUUAGUUGCCAGCAUUCAGUUGGGCACUCUAAGGUGACUGCCGGUGACAAACCGGAGGAAGGUGGGGAUGACGUCAAAUCAUCAUGCCCCUUAUGACCUGGGCUACACACGUGCUACAAUGGACAGAACAAAGGGCAGCGAAACCGCGAGGUUAAGCCAAUCCCACAAAUC